rnacentral:rRNA from 1 species
GACGAACGCUGGCGGCGUGCUUAACACAUGCAAGUCGAGCGGUAAGGCCCUUUCGGGGGUACACGAGCGGCGAACGGGUGAGUAACACGUGGGUGACCUGCCCUCAGCUCUGGGAUAAGCCUGGGAAACCGGGUCUAAUACCGGAUAUGACUCCAUGACGCAUGUUGUGGGGUGGAAAGCCUUGUGCGGCUGAGGAUGGGCCCGCGGCCUAUCAGCUUGUUGGUGGGGUGAUGGCCUACCAAGGCGACGACGGGUAGCCGGCCUGAGAGGGCGACCGGCCACACUGGGACUGAGACACGGCCCAGACUCCUACGGGAGGCAGCAGUAAGGAAUAUUGGUCAAUGGACGAAAGUCUGAACCAGCCAUGCCGCGUGGAGGAUGAA